AAGCUCCAAGAGAUCUACUACAUUUUAAAAAUAGGAGAGGUGUCUUUCAUCCUAAAUAUUAGUUUAAAUAAUAAUUUUAAUAGAACCCAAUUUCUUAUUUGAGUCAACAAAAAAAAAAUCUCAUAAAUCAGGGGCCAUACAAAAUUCCAAACUGUGUCGACAAUUAAACGAAAAUAGAAAAUUUUAAUGCUGAGAUCUUACAUGGAUUGUAGAUCUUAAUUAGAACUUCUCCAUUUAUAAUAUGCCAUCAAUAAAAAUCUCCUGCUGCAUCUUCAUAAUAUCCGAAAUCAAGGAAGUCAAAAAAGAUAAGAUUGAAUAUUGUAGACGUAGAGAAGAGUUAAUCAUGAAUGGGAUUGGGGUAGGAUAAGAGUACUGAAUAGGAAAAGGAGGGGAAGGGAAGCAGCAGCUGGAAAUCAUCGGCAUGGGGGGUCUUGGGAAGAACCUCCUUCAAUCCCAAUCUCUCUCUCUCUCUCUCUCUCUCUCUCUCUCUCUCUCUCUCUCUCUCUCUCUCUAUAGUGUUUCUUCUCCAAGCACCCCAUGCCCAAAAUUUCCAGUAACUCUCUCUUUCCCUCUUACUCCUUUCGUCUUUCUCUCUCUAAAGCAUUCUCAGACAUCUGCAUGAUGAGGAGGAGGCGGAUAAGGGUGGGAUGAGAGGAGGCAGGGAAAGGGAGGAACCAAAGGAAAUCAUUGGAAUGGGUGGCCUUGGUAAGUAAAUCUGUAUGAUGAAUUUUCACUUACCAUAACACCCAUCUCCAAUAGCUUCCUAAAGCUCUAUCUCCCUUUCCCCCCACUCUUCAGUGUCUCCCUAACGCUUCUUGUUUGUGUGAAGGGAUGGAUGCGGCAGCCCACUACUUUAUAAUGGGGAGAGAACAACAGUACAGUACAGUACAGUACAGUAUAGCUCUUCUUCUUGGUUUUCUUUCUUAAUGCUUUGAACAGAGACCUUAACCUUCGAAUGAGUUAAUCAUGACAUACAAGGAAAUUACGAUUCAAGCCCUCCCCGAAGGACACGUCUCUGGGAAACCGCGUGGGCGUGGGGGUCGCUCAGUUCUCAAGGCCUCAAAGCCGCGUUGGGAGGAAUUGCAAAUCACAAAUGCUAUAAUUGGCGAAGAAUCAAAACUCUAUCAGUUAAGAACUGCAGAAUACAGGAUAGCUAAGUGGCUAAGGGAUUUAUUCGUGGUGUUUGCAAAUCAUCGAGAAGUGAAUGAACAAGAGGCUUGCAUUGAAAGAGAGAAAAAUCCUAAACUCGUCUGCCCCAUAAGUUCUUAUGGAUGUGUUAUUUAUACCUAUAUUAUGGUAAUGUUCAAUGUCAUUAUUUUUGUCUAUACUUUUGUAAAAUCGGUACAUGCAUUUUUGGUUCA